GCCGUCUUAGCUCAUUCUGGAAGAGCGCCGGUCUCCAAAACCGGAAGCGGGAGGUUCGAUACCUCCAGACGGCGCCA
rnacentral:tRNA from 1 species